AUUGCCUGAGAAAAUUUUACCGAAGACUCAAUUCUUAUAUAGAUUGGAACAUAGUUUUGACUCCGUUGUAAUCUUGGCUAUUGCUUUACAGCUUCAGCAAUUGCCGUAAGGCCAGCGGUAGAUCAUUAGUUUAGGCAUUUUUACUGGACUACCACACUGUGCAAGUUCAACAUUGUGAUUUAAAAAAAAUGCUACAAUUUAUUGUUUUAAUUUUUUUUAUUUCUGAUUUUUAUCUCCAAUCACAAGAAUUUGCGUAGAGUUUUUGAGAUGUUUUGCAAUUCAUUUUGAUGACAUCUUUAGUAAUCUGAUAAUU